rnacentral:tRNA from 1 species
UGCCCGAUGGUGUAAUUGGCAACACUGGAGUUUCUGGUUCUCUCAUUCCAGGUUCGAGUCCUGGUCGGGCAA